GACGAACGCUGGCGGCGUGCCUAAUACAUGCAAGUCGAACGGUCUUUUCUAUGGAAGCUUGCUUCCGCUGAGAAGAUAGUGGCAAACGGGUGAGUAACACGUGGGUAACCUGCCCAUAAGAGGGGGAUAACAUCCGGAAAUGGGUGCUAAUACCGCAUAGUUUUCUUGAUCGCAUGAUUGAGAAAGGAAAGACGGCCUUUGUGCUGUCGCUUAUGGAUGGACCCGCGGCGUAUUAGUUAGUUGGUGAGGUAACGGCUCACCAAGACGAUGAUACGUAGCCGACCUGAGAGGGUGAUCGGCCACAUUGGGACUGAGACACGGCCCAAACUCCUACGGGAGGCAGCAGUAGGGAAUCUUCCGCAAUGGACGAAAGUCUGACGGAGCAACGCCGCGUGAGUGAAGAAGGUUUUCGGAUCGUAAAACUCUGUUGUCAGAGAAGAACAAGUCGGAGAGUAACUGCUCCGGCCUUGACGGUAUCUGACCAGAAAGCCACGGCUAACUACGUGCCAGCCGCCGCAGUAAAAC
rnacentral:rRNA from 1 species